AUCAGUUUACUUGAGAUCAGCGCAAUAAGCGUACUGAAAAAGUGCUUAACAGCUUAUCUAACUGCGUGCAGUGGUUUCUGCUAAAUUUAAAAAAUAAGAUGUCACUGGGGCCCAAAAGUGUUUGUCUGACGAUUGGCGUUCUAUUUUUUGCCGCCUUUACGAGUAUGUUGACAGUUAGAGCAAAUCCAAUAGGAGUUCAAACAGAAAAGCCAUCGGAUCCAUUGAUUCUGGAAGAUUGGAAUGGAAAUACAAAUGCAAAUACUAAUUCUGUGUAUAGUGCAGAUAAUCGUCAAAUAGUCAUAAAUAACGUUAUUACGACAAAAAAGGAUUCUUCUUCAGAUUACAGUGAUUAUAGCGGUUGUUUUUUGCUAUUCUGUUGAAUAUAAAUAAAUUUAGCAAAAAAAUAUUAAGUAAGUAAGUAAGGGAAAGUAAAUUCAUUAUGAAGUGGCAAAGCAAACUGUGUAUACGAUUAAAUCAAGUAAAAACUGUCAAAAAUUCUUACUUCGAUAUAAGUA